GACGAACGCUGGCGGCGUGCCUAAUACAUGCAAGUCGAACGCUGAAGGAGGAGCUUGCUCUUCUGGAUGAGUUGCGAACGGGUGAGUAACGCGUAGGUAACCUGCCUGGUAGCGGGGGAUAACUAUUGGAAACGAUAGCUAAUACCGCAUAAGAGUAGAUGUUGCAUGACAUUUACUUAAAAGGUGCAAUUGCAUCACUACCAGAUGGAUCUGCGUUGUAUUAGCUAGUUGGUGGGGUAACGGCUUACCAAGGCGACGAUACAUAGCCGACCUGAGAGGGUGAGCGGCCACGCUGGGACGGAGACACGGCCCAGACUCCUACGAGAGGCAGCAGUAGGGAAUCCUCGGCAAUGGACGGAAGGCUGACCGAGGAACGCCGCGUGAGUGAAGAAGGUUUUCGGAUCGUAAAGCUCUGUUGUAAGAGAAGAACGAGUGUGAGAGUGGAAAGUUCACACUGUGACGGUAUCUUACCAGAAAGGGACGGCUAACUACGUG
rnacentral:rRNA from 1 species